AUUGAACGCUGGCGGCAUGCCUUACACAUGCAAGUCGAACGGCAGCACGGGAGCAAUCCUGGUGGCGAGUGGCGAACGGGUGAGUAAUAUAUCGGAACGUGCCCAGUCGUGGGGGAUAACGCAGCGAAAGCUGUGCUAAUACCGCAUACGAUCUAAGGAUGAAAGCGGGGGAUCGCAAGACCUCGCGCGAUUGGAGCGGGCGAUAUCAGAUUAGCUAGUUGGGGGGGUAAAGGCCCACCAAGGCGACGAUCUGUAGCUGGUCUGAGAGGACGAGCAGCCACACUGGAACUGAGACACGGUCCAGACUCCUACGGGAGGCAGCAGUGGGGAAUUUUGGACAAUGGGCGCAAGCCUGAUCCAGCAAUGCCGCGUGCAGGAUGCAGGCCUUCGGGUUGUAAACUGCUUUUGUACGGAACGAAACGGCCCUUUCUAAUACAGGGGGCUAAUGACGGUACCGUAAGAAUAAGCACCGGCUAACUACGUGCCAGCAGCCGCAGUAACAC
rnacentral:rRNA from 1 species